rnacentral:rRNA from 1 species
GACGAACGCUGGCGGCGUGCCUAAUACAUGCAAGUUGAGCGCUGAAGGUUGGUACUUGUACCCACUGGAUGAGCAGCGAACGGGUGAGUAACGCGUGGGGAAUCUGCCUUUGAGCGGGGGACAACAUUUGGAAACGAAUGCUAAUACCGCAUAAAAACUUUAAACACAAGUUUUAAGUUUGAAAGAUGCAAUUGCAUCACUCAAAGAUGAUCCCGCGUUGUAUUAGCUAGUUGGUGAGGUAAAGGCUCACCAAGGCGAUGAUACAUAGCCGACCUGAGAGGGUGAGUGGCCACAUUGGGAGUGAGACACGGCCCAAACUCCUUCGGGAGGCAGCAGGAGGGAAACUUCGGCAAUGGACGAAAGUCUGACCGAGCAACGCCGCGGGAGGGAAGAAGGGUGUCGGAUCGUAAAACUCUGUUGGUAGGGAAGAACGUGGGUGAGAGUGGAAAGCGCAUCAAGUGACGGUAACUACCCAGAAAGCGACGGCUAACUACGUG